rnacentral:misc_RNA from 1 species
GAUGAAGAACGUAGCGAAAUGCGAUAAGUAAUGCGAAUUGCAGAAUCCGUGAGUCAUCGAAUCUUUGAACGCACAUUGCGCCCUCUGGUAUUCCGGGGGGCAUGCCUGUUCGAGCGUCAUUAUCCAUCCCUCAAACCUCGUGUUUGAUGUUGGGCUUUUCUGAACCGUCACAAGUUGGGAUGCCUCAAAGGUAAUGACGGCGUCCUCGUGGGACUCGACGCACUGAGCUUUUUUGCAAAGGCACGCGUUGUAGGAUCACGGGCGACCCGGUCUAACUCUUAAAAAUUUUUACAAGGUUGACCUCGGAUCAGGUAGGGAUACCCGCUGAACUUAAGCAUAUCAAUAAGCGGAGGA